rnacentral:rRNA from 1 species
UACGUAGGUGACAAGCGUUGUCCGGAUUUACUGGGCGUAAAGAGCGCGCAGGCGGUCGAUCAAGUCGAGUGUGAAAGCCCCCGGCUCAACUGGGGAGGGUCAUUCGAUACUGAUCGACUCGAAGGCAGGAGAGGGUAGUGGAAUUCCCGGUGUAGUGGUGAAAUGCGUAGAGAUUUGGAGGAACACCAGUGGCGAAGGCGACUUUCUGGUCUGUAACUGACACUGAGGCGCGAAAGCGUGGGGAGCAAACAGG